UAAUUACCUAAUUUAGCAUUUUAGCUGACUCUACCUGGACUGGGAGCUCGGAGUACCAGAGGAGUGUGAUGAAGCCGGAGAGGAGCGAGUACAGUUUGGAAAACCUAAAUAAUCUUUUAGAAGAAAAAGACUGAGAAGAAAAAAAGGGCAGCGGACUUCACGUUGGAAGCGGACAGUGUUUUUCCAUGGCACGUGCAGGACGUCCAGGAAAUGUCUGGCUGCAGCUGCAGUAACAACACGGCGCGGUCUGUGGCCUCUCUGCUCUGCAGGAGCCUGUGCAGGGCUACGACUGUUUUCAAACCUGCCGAGACCUUCUCCACAGGUACAUGCUGUGAUGUUUAAUGUGAACCGCUGUCAUUUCUGCUCUCAGUGCAAAAACACAUCUAUAGGAGGGAAGUGGUGCUGCCGGUGGUAGCUGUCAGAGUGUGAUGAUCUGUAGAAAAUGAAAAAGGCACAUUCUGUCCAAAUGUGUGGCUGUCUGCAGGGUAAAUGCAAUUUUUUAUUUGCAUGAUGUUGGUUAACAGCCUUUUUCAAAUUAGAUUUUGUCUCUUACACCUCUUAUCACACUAAUGUGCAAGAUUAUAGCAAUACAGUGUGUUUUAAUAAUAUAAAAGCAGUUGAUUAAAGCUUUACUGGGCAAUGAAUGGCAGUAACUCAACAAAAAUACCCAGAACUCAUGUAACAUAACAUGAAACAACUGCACUCCUGAAACAUAAUCACCCCCUCUUCUUAUUGGUUGCACUGGGAAAGAGGUUCAACCAUCUUUGGUGAGUUCUACUUUUUACAGAAUCAAGAUUCAAAGCUUUAUUGUCAUAUGCACUAAGAGCAAUACAAUUCAUAGCUUACUGUAUUCUGAUUGUCAUCUUUUCUUUUACCUACAGUAAUGUCACACUCUACCCACAAUGCAGUGCAAAAUCAUCCGCCAUAUUGUUGGUGGUGCAAACAAACACUUCAAGAGGUGCCUUUUCGAGCAUGCGAAGAUGAUAAUGAGUUAAUAUUUAUCCCUUUUUCGCAGUACAUAUGUCAACAUGUCAUCCGAUUACAUUUCUGUGCUCCCUCUUGAUUAAUAAAACAUCUAAAAUAA